GCAAUAUACACUGCUACAUUUAACUUCAAAAUAAUCAGAAAGUAGAAUCCUACUACUUUUCUGGAAAAAAGAACAGUAAAUGUUGGGUUAAUCAUACAAGGACUAACACAUUAUCAUAUCCUCCAAUAAUUUAUUGUCGAGAAGAAUGACUCUUGGAAAAUAUGCCAACACAAUCAACUAUCACUGAUAUAUUACUGCCCUUGCAUUUGUUUGCAAAAUUUAUAUUGAUUUUCUCUUGGAUAUUCCCUUUCUCCUUGCCUUCCAACUUUCCAGUUUUCCAAAGAAGAGUAUAAAGUUAUUGACAGACUACAGGUAUUUUAAAUAAGCAUAGAAAACUAGUCAGAAGGGAGUUUAUGGCACCAGGGUGUACUUUUGGUGACGAAUCACAUCUUUUACC
rnacentral:lncRNA from 1 species